UCUCCUCCACCAGUCAUACAAGGAGAAUGGUCUAAUGCCUCCCAUCAAAAUAAGAGCUGGCCCAAGCAAGCACAGGUUACACCUGAAGAAUGAGGACGAGUGGUGAACUUCAUCAACAACUACGCAGAGGAUAAUGCAAUAGUAUUACCAGGACACAAACACUUUGGUGGAAAUCUGCUGCCAUUCCAUGUGACAAAAGCAGCAGUGUGGAGUCUCUAUAAGGAAUUGAUGGCAACACUUGGUAUGUGAAGCAUAAGCAAAACGUUUUGACUAUUUAAUUGACCUCAAACAGAUUGGCACUACUUUUAUUGAUCUAACAUUAUUUCUGUAUUUUCUAGAGGUGUGUGUAGUCGGGCUUUAUGAUUUUAAUUUCCAGUUUCCAAGAUUAUGUUUCUGUAUACAGUGCUGCUGCUCUUUACAUUUGUAGCCAGGUCCCAUCUACUUUUUAACUCCUUGCAAGUGUGGCUUGUUUGGUGUCUGCUGUGAAGAAAUACCACAACGAGUCAACUACUUGAUUGAUGAAGGCAUGACAUCCAGCAAAGGCAUCAGCACAGUCAACUACAAGCCUUAUUUCUUCACCAACUACGGAGUUGGGGAAAAACACACAUGCCUAAUUUGUGAUAACUGCAGUGGCCAUAACAAGAACAAGUUUGUGCUCUGGUAUUGUGUCUGGCGGACUGUGCACAAGCUCCACCACAGUCUGGACCUUCACUUCCUGAUCACAGGCCACACCAAGUUUGCCCUCGACUGGGGCUUCGGCCUCACCAAAGCAGCGCUUCAGAAAGACCAGAGUGAACACUUUGUCUGAGAUUGCUGGUGUUGUGAAGGACAGCACUGUGACAGGGGUCAACGUCCCACAGCUGGUUGGACUGGAGGAUGGUACGGUGCUGGUGGAAAAAUACUGUAUGGCUGGCAACGACACGUGACUCUGUACUCCGCUGCCACAGUUCAAGUGGUACCAGGACUUCAGAGUUUUGAUGCUCUGGAGCCUGGUGUUGUUGUCGCCAAGGAGUGUUCGGACUCAGUCAGGAACCAGGUUUCAGCUGCUGCGGUACCGGGGCUCCAAGUCAAGGUCCAAGAGGCUUCUAAACAGCUUCUACCCCCAAGCAGACCUGAGCCCUAGGACCAUGCCCCAGGACUACCUGACA